ACGAUGUUCAAUUCAGAAGGACGGCUGGGAUUGAUGAACAUCGCCCAUUUCUACAUCAUCUCAAAUUCCUAUCGGACUGUGUCUGUCUGUUUAAUGGCGAAAUUUGAACUCUGGUCUCUGUAGUAGAAGAGGGAAAACAUGGUCCCCCGACGACAUGCGAUUGCAAAGCCACCUCCGACACCACCGUGUCACGCUUUCAUCAGCAUUCUUCACACAUUUCUUUCGGCUAUUUAUUAGCUCCAAUUUCUGUCAUCUCUCCACCGACGCCUCAGCAUCCUUUCCAUGGUUUCCCCUCCUUCGAACCUCCAUUGCCCGAAACGACUUGCGCCUCGGAAAAUGCACGCACGCGCGUAUCAUAAGAUCCCGCCACGACGGCGACCGUUUCCUCAUCAACAACCUAAUCAAUAUGUAUUGCAAAUGUGGUUCUCUAUCCUACGCUCGCCACCUCUUCGACCAAAGUCCCGGACGAGACCUUAUCACUUGGAAUUCUAUUCUAGCUGGAUACGCGCUUGCGUCUGAAUUCGGCUAUGAUAGUAUCGAAGAGGGGUUCCAUCUUUUCCGUCUUAUGCGCAAGUCUGCUGUUCUUCCAAGCAAACUCACUUUAGCGCCAGUUCUUAAAUUGUGCUUACACUCGGGACUUGUCUGCGCUUCGGAAGCUGUUCACGGUUAUUCAGUAAAAAUUGGUCUCGAAUGGGAUCUCUUCGUCUCAGGAGCUUUGGUGAGUACCUAUUCAAAGUUUGGACGAGUUAGAGAUGCGCGUGUUUUGUUUGAUGGGGUGCUGGACAGAGAUGUUGUGCUGUGGAAUGUCAUGCUUAAAGCUUAUGUACAGUCAGGUUUACAAGAAGAGGCAUUGACGUUAUUUUCAGAAUUUCAUCGUAGUGGAUUACGUCCGGAUGACAUCAGCAUGCAUUGUGUUCUUAACGAGGUUUCUGAAGUUAAUUCUACUGAAAUUAAGAAGAUUGUGGAGCAGAUACAAGCUUAUGGAAUUAAAAUGUGCCUUUUUGAUGAUAAUUCAGAUGUAAUUAUGUGGAAUAAAACCAUUUCUCAGCAUUCCCAAGCCGGUGGUUAUUGGGAGGCUGUUCAAUGCUUUAAGGAGAUGAACAAGUCCGGUGUAGCUAAUGAUAAUGUGACAUUCAUUGUGACCCUUGGUGCUGUCACUGAUGCAAGCGAUCUGAACUUAGGUCAGCAAAUUCAUGGCAUGGUUGUUAAAACAGGUUUUGAUUCAGAUGUUUCUGUCAGAAACUGUCUCAUUAACAUGUAUGCAAAGAUGGGCUUCUUAGAUUAUGCAUGGGGAAUUUUUAAUGACAUGAAAGAAUUGGAUUUAGUUUCAUGGAAUUCAAUGAUAUCAAGUUAUGCGCAAAAAGGUUUGGGAGAAGAGUCGCUCAACCUCUUCUUGGGUCUAUUACGUGAGGGCCUUAGACCAGAUCAAUUUACAUUGGCAAGUGUUCUGCGUGCCUGUUCUGCAACCCCAGAAUGCUUCUCUCUUGCCAAACAAAUUCAUGUUCACACAGUAAAAACUGGUAAAAUAGAGCAUGCUUUUGUUUUAACUGCACUUAUUGAUGUUUAUGCAAAGAGUGGAUACAUGAAAGAAGCAGAACUUCUUUUUAAUAAUACUGACAGAUUUGAUUUAGCUUCUUUGAAUGUGAUGAUGUCUGGUUAUAUUGCUAAUAACGAUGGCUUCAAAGCAUUGGAUCUCUUUUCUCUAAUGCACAAGGAUGGAAAGAAGUCAGACCAGUUCACAUUAGCAACUGCAAUUAAUGCCUGUGGUUGCUUGGUCUCUUUAGAACAAGGGAAACAAAUUCAUGCCCAUGUAAUAAAGGUUGGUUUUGAAUUGAAUCUAUGUGUCAGUAGUGGGAUUCUUGACAUGUAUAUUAAAUGUGGUGACAUUGGGAGUGCAUUUGUAGUUUUUGAUGGUAUCUCUGAGCCUGAUGAUGUUGCAUGGACAGCCAUGAUCUCAGGAUGUGUGGAUAAUGGAGAUGAGGGUCGUGCUUUCUUGCUCUACCAGAAGAUGAGGCGCUCUGGGAUCCCAUCUGAUGAAUAUACCUUUGCAACACUCAUCAAAGCCUGUUCUUACUCAACUGCUUUAGAACAAGGGAGGCAAAUUCAUGCAAACAUAGUAAAGUCUGAGUAUGUUUCUGAUUCUUUUGUUGGGACUUCAAUGAUAGAUAUGUAUGCAAAGUGUGGGAGCAUUGAAGAUUCAUACAAGUUAUUUAAGAGGAUGCAUGUAAAGAACAUUGUCUCAUGGAAUGCCAUGGUAGUGGGUUUAGCACAACAUGGUAAUGGUGAAGAAACUUUGGAUCUUUUCAGAGAGAUGAUUCAUGAUGGUGUCAAACCUGAUUCAAUCACCUUUAUUGGAGUCCUUUCAGCUUGCAGUCAUUCAGGAUUAGUUUCUGAAGCUUAUGAAUACUUUGAUUUGAUGUAUAAAAGAUAUGGUAUCAAACCAGAAGUUGAGCAUUAUUCCUGCUUGGUUGAUGCACUUGGUCGAGCAGGGCUUGUAAAAGAAGCUGAAAAGCUGAUUGAAACAGUGCCCUUUGAUGCUUCUGCAUCAAUGUAUAGAACCCUGCUCAGUGCUUGUAGGGUUAGAGGGGAUGCAGAAACUGGAAAGCGGGUGGCAACUCAACUCUUGGUUUUGGAACCAUCUGAUUCUUCAGCUUAUGUUCUUCUCUCAAAUAUUUGUGCAUCUGCCAACCGUUGGGAUGAGGUUGUUGAUGCUAGGAAGAUGAUGAAGAUGAGGAAUGUUAAGAAAGAUCCUGGCUAUAGCUGGAUCGAUGUGAAGAACAUAAUUCAUUUGUUUGUAGUGGAUGAUAGGUCACACCCACAAACAGAUGAAAUAUAUGUUAAGGUAGAGGACUUGUUAAGUAUGAUAAGGGAGGAAGGAUAUGUACCUGAUACAGAUUUUGUAUUGCUUGAUGUGGAAGAAGAGGAAAAAGAGCGUUCUCUUUACUAUCAUAGCGAGAAGUUGGCCAUAGCUUAUGGGCUCAUAAGUACUCCACCAGCUACAACUAUUCGGGGAUGUGGUCAUUUUCUAGGAUUUGUGGACUGUAUUUACUUGAAUGCUCCCACUGUGUUGCAACUUGACAAUGUGUUUGGGUGAUCUAAUAUCCAUCAAGAAUACCAAUUGGACAGAUUGUGUCUUGUGGAACCCUUAUUUACGGAUGGAAACUGCUACCAGGAUUUUGCCUGCGUUGAAAAUGCAAAGGGUUUCAUUACAAUCUGGUUUGGUUCCAUAAAGACAGUGAAGACGGCAGAGUUACAUGUUCAUCUCCAAAUUCGGCCUUAUAUAUGGAGAAUGGAACUGUGGUAUGUUUCAGGCAUCAGUUUCAGAACAAGCAAUGAGCCUUUUAAGGUCCUCGCUUCCUCCUCUGGCCUUGCUUUUUUCCCUUCUUUUUUCUUUCCUCUUCUAGAUCAGUGAGAAUUUGGCCAGAGUGGUUAUCGAUUACAGAUUGCGCUUGACACCUGAACAUAACCCGAUUCAAGAGGCAGCUUUUUCUUAAGAUUUAUGAGGUUUUUAUUUGCAUGUCAUUUUAACUUCUGCCCUUCUUGAUAUUGUCAGUAUGCCACCGGUAGUGAAUUUUUCAAACAUAUAUGCAAAAUUGAAGAGAGGGUCUCUUUCUCUCUCCUUUGAUAUUUUUCCUUUUUUUUUUCUUAUUUCUUUUUGAAAUUUCCUGGUGAAAUAUUUCUACUAGCAACGUAUCUCAGGUGUCAAUUACUAUCAUGGUUAAGUCAAUAAUUGUUUAGAAAACCCC